rnacentral:rRNA from 1 species
GACGAACGCUGGCGGCGUGCUUAACACAUGCAAGUCGAACGGAAAGGCCCUGCUUUUGUGGGGUGCUCGAGUGGCGAACGGGUUAGUAACACGUGAGUAACCUGCCCUUGACUUUGGGAUAACUUCAGGAAACUGGGGCUAAUACCGGAUAGGAGCUCCUGCUGCAUGGUGGGGGUUGGAAAGUUUCGGCGGUUGGGGAUAGACUCGCGGCUUAUCAGCUUGUUGGUGGGGUAGUGGCUUACCAAGGCUUUGACGGGUAGCCGGCCUGAGAGGGUGACCGGCCACAUUGGGACUGAGAUACGGCCCAGACUCCUACGGGAGGCAGCAGUGGGGAAUAUUGCACAAUGGGCGGAAGCCUGAUGCAGCAACGCCGCGUGUGGGAUGACGGCCUUCGGGUUGUAAACCGCUUUCGCCUGUGACGAAGCGUGAGUGACGGUAAUGGGUAAAGAAGCACCGGCUAACUACGUG